UUCCUACGGGGGGCAGCAGUGAGGGAUAUUGGUCAAUGGGGGAAACCCUGAACCGGCAACGCCGCGUGAGGGAAGACGGUUUUCGGAUUGUAAACCUCUGUCCUCUGUGAAGAUAAUGACGGUAGCAGAGGAGGAAGCUCCGGCUAACUACGUGCCAGCAGCCGCGGUAAUACGUAGGGAGCAAGCGUUGUCCGGAUUUACUGGGUGUAAAGGGAGCGUAGGCGGACUUUUAAGUGAGAUGUGAAAUACUCGGGCUCAACUUGAGUGCUGCAUUUUAAACUGGAAGUCUAGAGUGCAGGAGAGGA
rnacentral:rRNA from 1 species